rnacentral:misc_RNA from 1 species
GAUGAAGAACGUAGCGAAAUGCGAUAAGUAGUGUGAAUUGCAGAAUUCAGUGAAUCAUCGAAUCUUUGAACGCACAUUGCGCCCCUUGGUAUCCCAUGGGGCAUGCCUGUUCGAGCGUCAUUUGUACCUUCAAGCUCUGCUUGGUGUUGGGUGUUUGUCUCGCCUCUGCGUGUAGACUCGCCUCAAAACAAUUGGCAGCCGGCGUAUUGAUUUCGGAGCGCAGUACAUCUCGCGCUUUGCACUCAUAACGACGACGUCCAAAAGUACAUUUUUACACUCUUGACCUCGGAUCAGGUAGGGAUACCCGCUGAACUUAAGCAUAUCAAUAAGCGGAGGA